GUCUUCGUGGCUCAGUUGGUUAGAGCGUUGGUCUCAUAUCGGCAUCGAUAAUGAAGGUGUUCCGCACCCCACAUCCAAAGGUCGCGAGUUCGAGUCUCGCCGAGGACA
rnacentral:tRNA from 1 species